UACGUAGGGGGCGAGCGUUGUCCGGAUUUAUUGGGCGUAAAGAGCUCGUAGGCGGCUUGGCAAGUCGGGUGUGAAACCUCCAGGCUCAACCUGGAGACGCCACUCGAUACUGCCAUGGCUAGAGUCCGGUAGGGGACCACGGAAUUCCUGGUGUAGCGGUGAAAUGCGUAGAUAUCUGCAGGACACCCGUGGCGAAAGCGGCGCGCUGGACCACUACUGACGCUGAGAAGCGAAAGCAUGGGGAGCGAACAGG
rnacentral:rRNA from 1 species